ACACGACUACAUUAGAUACCCCUGUAGUCCAGGGUGUAAACGCUGCGGGCUUGGUGUUGGGGGUCCUUUGAGGGCGCCCAGUGCCGGAGAGAAGUUGUUAAGCCUGCUGCUUGGGGAGUACGUCCGCAAGGAUGAAACUUAAAGGAAUUGGCGGGGGAGCACCGCAACGGGAGGAGCGUGCGGUUUAAUUGGAUUCAACACCGUAAAACUCACCAGGGAAGACUGUUACAUGAAGGCCGAGAUGAAGACUCUGCUAGAUUUUCAG
rnacentral:rRNA from 1 species